GCCAGAGGGACUUGAGAGCAGCUGCACUUUCCUGUCCCCCGCGGAGGAGAGCAGAGGAGCAGCGGGCAGUGGCCUGGCGAGUUUCCCCAGAGAGGAACCGGAUUCCGCUGCAGGGACUGAGCGAGGAGUCCGAGGUGCAGGAGGGCGGAGCAAGCGGGGGAGGAGGAGGAGGAGAGCACGUGCGCCUGGCAGGAUCAGGCCCCGAGUCCAGCCAGAGGCUGCAGGGUGCCCCCCAACCGGGCAGGAAGGGGAAGGGGCGCAGCUCAGGGGCAGGGCAUCUGCAGGAGGGCACAGGGGCAAACUGUUAGGAUAUUUCCGUUCCACCUUAAAAGGGAGCAGGAUGUUUGUGUCAGAGCCUGCGUAUUUCCUGUUUCACAGGAUGUUUCUGUUUUGAUAGAGCUGUUGUCUCUCUCUGGGUGUCGGAGACACAGAAGCAGGCAGUCAUGUUUUUUUCUUUGUUCUGACCAACGCUGAAUAAACUUGUAAAUAUGCUCUCCUGCGUGCAUCUUUCGCUGUGUGCAUUAUCUGCUGAUAGAGCGUUCGUCAGCUCUGGAAUGUGGCAAGCUAUUUCUGGAGCUCGUGUCGCUAAUUGCUGAUACUGCGUGUCUACGGGAGAUCGAUGGACGUCCGGAGACGACGUGGAGUCAUGAUGGACUUUGUCUCCCUGGCAGUAUCCCAACACAAACAUCUCCAGCUCAGGCUGGCACGGACCCUGCCGGAGACCCAGGGGAGCUGCUCCCUUCAGUCCUGCAGACGAUGCUGAGCUCAAGGGGCAGAAUGAGGGGUCCAAGGCAGCUGCUGCUUCGCAAUGGAGGAUGCAUAUAGUCGCUCAUGGAUCAGCGGCGUACCUGGGGAUUUUACCUCCCUGGUCGGUCAGUGAGUCUUCCUGUCCCUCACCAGGGAGCCCCGUCCUCUUCCAUGGUCCUCCCUCUCUCCUGCUUCUGCCUCCCUGCGGGGGCUGCCAGGGCAAUGAGUGGGUUCCAGGGGCGGCAGCACAGGCACAAGCUCACGCUCUCCCACCGGCGGAGAGGGAAGGCGAGGCAGGGGGGAGUGCAGCAGGGAGGUGCCCCUCUCACCCCCCUGACACCCUUUGCAGGCCACUACUCCUGCCCCCCCUUCCUCUGCCAGUGCCAUUGAUAAACCUAUCGCCCUCCUUCAUGAAUUGGUCUGAUCGCCUUUCAAAGCUCUCUUUGCCACCACCAUCACCGCAUCUUGUGGCAAUGAUGUCCAUCAGAUUCAUUUAGCAAGGAAAUGGCUUCUUUUGUCUUCCCCAAAUCAAGGUACGCUGUGCCUACACAUGGAGGUUCUGUUGUUCUGUCAAGGCUACUAAAACAGCUAAUAGAUCUAUUCCCCAGAGAACGCAUCUGAUCUUUUCCCAAGCUGUCAAAGCUGGUGACCUCUUGUGUCUGCGUGUAAAUAAGUGAGAGAGCCUUAAGCCUGUUUCGUUAAAGGUUUUAUCUUCCUCCUUCUUCAGUAACACAGCUGAGUUUUCAGAUGAAGGCUGAGGGUUGAAGUGGGUGCCAGUUUUGAGAAUGCAGAGGAAAGGAAGAUUCUUAAGAAGUGUGGCAUAUGGAAAUGAAUUAAUGAUAAUAAAAACGUUGAAGACAGUAUUGUAAAAGACUGAGGAAGGCGAAAUUGAAAUUAGCUAUUCAUGUUCAGAUUAUUAUUCCUUUCAUUUCUAUAAUGUUUCAUAUUUUUAAGAAAAAAAUCUCAAAGUAAUUAGAGAGAAAUCUCAAUGCAGUUUGUGUCCAUAGGAUGUUGAGAACAUUAAAUCUGUAGAUCCAGGAGUUCUCUCCUCCUGAUAGUCUUAGAUUUGAUUGUUCUUUCCAAUAGAGCAGGAGGAACGAAACAUUUAUGGGCUUAAAGCUGCAUUGAUUCUGGAGGCCACAUUCCAGUGAUCUUUGUGGCCAAUGUAUGCACAUGCAUGCGCACACAGAAAAGAGAUGCAGACCAUAAAGUCACAUGCACACAUGCCAGAGGUGCCUCACACACUCACCAGACAUGCCAUCUAGCAUACAUACAAGUCUUGCAAACACAAUCAGCAUGUUUAGACCUUCCAACCCCAGUUCUGGGGUGGGGAAAAAUAAGAGCACAAGAAGACCCUGCUGAAUUAGCAAUGAGAUCUGUGGAAAAAAGACCCUUCUGAUUGUUCUUUAGAAAUCCUCUUUAAAGAGCAGCCAGAGGGAUCAUUUAUUUCCAGAUCAGGGCUUUUACCCCAUUUCAGCACUGUGCUAGUUUGUGGUGAAAUUGGAGUUGAAAAGAUCUCUCUAAGGGCCCUUAGGCAUCUUUCUCUCCAGGACAGACAGAGAUCUUCAUCCUAUGAUCAGAUCAGGAGAUGGAAACGGCAGGGACUAGCAGGACACACCCUGAGGCUUGGCAAGCCAUAUGCAGCCAAUGGACUGCAAGGUAGAAUGUCUUCAAUAAAGAGAGUUUGUGACCAUCAAAUUUAAAAUAUUUUGGAGUGAGUUCUUUGAUUUUGUUGGUCAAUAUUCCUUUUGUCAGUUUCUUAGGCUGUGCAGAUACCAUACAUUUAAAGCACGUGGCUUCCCCCAGAGAACCACAGGACCUAUAGUUUAUUGCUACAGUUCUCAACACCCCUAACAAACUGCAGCUCGCAGGAUUUCUUGGGUGAAGCCAAGUACUUUAAGUGUUAUUUUUUUUUUUAAAGCAAUUUAUUAAAUUUUACAAUAAAAAUAGACAUAAUAAACAAUGUAACAUCGAUCUUAACAUAUUUUCACAUUUUCUUUGGACUUCCUCACACCUCCCGCUCCCAUUUUCAUCGUUGAAACAUUUUGUCAGCAAUUUAUCAUCUUAUUUAAAUUCUUAUAUCCCUUCUAUAUUUCUUCCGGGGGCGGCGCGAACGGCAAUGGCGGUCCUCUUCUGAACGGGAGAGGAGGCUCCGCAGGCAACGGGUCGUCCGCUACGGCGAAGCGGAGACCCACAUCGGAAAACCCCAGGCGGCAAGAGCCUGGGGUCUUGAGGCUCGGUGGGCGCCUAGAGCGACCCUCCAAGUGCAGAAGGAACCCCGUAAGGGGCUCCGGAGCACGGAGGGGGGUUGCGGCGCUGUGAGCUGUUUCGCAGCCUGAGGAGCGAAGCCGCGCUGCUGCUGUCGGUGAGCGCUGAUCCCUUUUCCUGCCAAAUUACGGAUCCGGACGAAAAAGCAACUAAUUUGUGAGUAAAAGACUGAAUCACUUGAAAUUUGAGACUUUAAAAGGGAAACUUAAAUUGGCUUGAACUUGGCUGUGAGCGGAGAGACGUGGAAGCAGGAAGUCCGUCUUCCGCAGCCAUUGAACUUGAAAAAAAGCAAUCAGCUGGAGGAGUGGAGGCUGAAAGAAAGAGACUCUAAGUUUUACAGAUCUAAGCAUCUAUUUGAACUUGCAUUUUAAAGUAAAGACUUCAAGUUAAAGAUUUGGGAUUUCUAUUUGUACUUGACUUUCCUCCUCUUAUUGGAUUACAAAUUAAAAGGUGAAACCCAGAGUCAGGAGCUGCCUGAGUACUAAGGGAGCUGUCAGUACUGCAGAUUUGGAUACUGUAUAUUGGAACUGGAAACAAUCUGAGGGUAUUGAUACCUUUCAAAUUUGAAACAUUCUUUUUGGAGAUAAAUAAGCACUGUCUGCAACAAGGUAACCAUUUAUAAACUCUGCUAAGCAUUUGUAUUUGAAGGUUCUUGGACAUUAAUUUAGACUCUGAAAGAUAGAUUAAGCUCCCUCUAGAGGAUUGGAUUAUAACAGUGAUUUUACAUACACUUUUUACUUUCGAUUCCCUUGCUGUUUGCUUGCUCUGGACCUUUCCAUUCCCAUGGGAACAACUCAGUGUGACCUUGACUGACAGAUAACGUUGGAAUGAGUGGCACAAGAAAAAGAGGGAGAGCUAAACAAACAACUCUAACAACUCUAACCUCAGCCUCACAGACACGCAGAUCAUCUGUGCCUACUUUGCCCUCAGAAGUGGAGGGUGAGGGCGAAGCAGAGCAGUUACAACUGGAAGAUAUGGCCUCAGGAGCAUCUGCUUCUAUACUAGAUAAAAUCUUUGAAAAAUUGGAAGUUUUGGACAAGAAAGCAGAUGCCCAAUCAGCAAAGAUUGAUAAAAAUACAGAAUGUCUAAAUAAAUUAACCACACAAGUGACACAGAAUGCACAAGCAAUUGGACAGCUAACGGAGGCCUCAGCAGAAAAUCGGAAAUUGACUGAGGACACCAGGCAAAGAUUUGAAAAUUUAGAGCAAGAGGUAAGACCACUCACUAAACAAGUUGGGGAACACCAGAUUUAUCUCUCGAUGAUAGAACUGCGAAACCGUGAGAACAACUUAAGGAUUAGAUCACUACAAGAGGCAGAAGAAGGAAAUCUAACUGAGUUUUUGACCAAAGAAUUCUCCAAGUUCUGGAACUUGGAAGAAAAGGAUUUUAAAAUUGUGUCAGCUUUCAGACUUGGAAGAUUCAUAAAGAAGGAGAGGCCCAGAGACUGUUUGAUAACAUUGAGAUCAAAGGAGGAAAGGGAUAAGAUUUUGGGAUUACACUUUGUAAAAUCACUGGAGGUGUUGGACAGAAGAAUUGAAAUUUAUAAAGAUAUCCCAAGACUACUGCUUGACCUUAGAACCGCCUAUUCUGAACUUGUUAAACUACUAAGGAGCAACGCAAUUCCAUUCAGGUGGGAAUUUCCUCAAGGAUUAUCUUUUACCUUUAGAGGGAGAAAGGUUAAAGUGAGAACACUGGAAGAGAGAGACAAAUUCCUGUCUACACACGGAGAGGACCUUCAAAAAAGAACUGAACUACCUUCUGGGCCUGAGGCAACGCCAAUACCAACAUCAGCAUCUGUGGAACCUGAAGACCCUGAGAAGAUACCACCCCUUGAAAAAUAACCAGAUAAUUCAGGAUGUCUCUGCAACUGUUGAGCUGGAAUAUUAAUGGUUGUAACAUUCCGGAAAAAAGGAAGAAAAUAUUUCAUAUAUUAAAAAAAGAACAAUUGGACAUUAUUUGUUUACAAGAAACACAUGUGACGAGGCUCCACAGAAAAGUGUUAAUAAAUAAAAGAUUAGGCCAGGAAUUUGUAUCUUCGGACAAAGUUAAGAAGAGAGGCGUAGUGAUAUAUGCAAAAGAGAGCCUGUCACCUAAAUUCCUAUUUAAAGAUGAACAUGGAAGAAUUUUGGCUAUUGAGAUACAAUAUCAAGGAGAGAAACUGCUGAUAUUAGGAAUUUAUGCACCUAAUGAAGGGAAAUCGGAAUUUUACAAGAAGUUGCAGGAGACAAUGCUGGAUUAUCUAGACUACAACAACAUCAUAAUGAUGGGAGAUAUGAAUGGGGUCGUAUCAACUAACAUGGACAAGUCACAAAGUCAAAAUGUUACAAAAGACGGCAGACUACCUAAAACCUUUUUUGAAAUGACUGACAAUAUGGACUUGAUUGACAUUUGGAGGACAAAGAACCCACUAGGAAGAGAGGGAACAUUCUUUUCUGAAGCCCAACUGACCUGGACAAGAAUCGACCAAAUAUGGAUUUCUAGAGGCCUGGCACCUAAGGUUAGAAAAGUGGAAAUAUGCCCAAAGACCUGCUCCGACCACAAUGCAGUAAAGAUGGAUAUGACACUAUUACCAACUGGAUCCUUUAGAUGGAAGAUGAAUGACAAUUUGUUUAGAGAUCAGGAAAUUACCAAGAAGGCCCAAAAAGUUUUGAAGGACUAUUUUGAGAUAAACAUGAAUAAUAUGGUGGAAAAAAGAAUAAUCUGGGACGCAAGCAAAGCUGUAAUGAGGGGAUUCUUGAUACAACAGAAUGCAGUGAAGAAAAGAACACAUAAUGAGAAAAAAGAUAAGAUCUUGGAU